UACGUAGGCAGCAAGCGUUGUUCGGAGUUACUGGGCGUAAAGAGUGCGUAGGCGGUUCUCUAAGUUUGGUGUGAAAUCUCCCGGCUCAACUGGGAGGGUGCGCCGAAAACUGGAGGGCUCGAGUGUGGGAGAGGAGAGCGGAAUUCCUGGUGUAGCGGUGAAAUGCGUAGAUAUCAGGAGGAACACCUGCGGUGCAGACGGCUCUCUGGACCACCACUGACGCUGAGGCACGAAAGCGUGGGGAG
rnacentral:rRNA from 1 species